UGGGGAAUUUUGGACAAUGGGCGAAAGCCUGAUCCAGCAAUGCCGCGUGUGUGAAGAAGGCCUUCGGGUUGUAAAGCACUUUUGUCCGGAAAGAAAUCCUUGGCUCUAAUACAGUCGGGGGAUGACGGUACCGGAAGAAUAAGCACCGGCUAACUACGUGCCAGCAGCCGCGGUAAUACGUAGGGUGCAAGCGUUAAUCGGAAUUACUGGGCGUAAAGCGUGCGCAGGCGGUUUGCUAAGACCGAUGUGAAAUCCCCGGGCUCAACCUGGGAACUGCAUUGGUGACUGGCAGGCUAGAGUAUGGCAGAGGGGGGUAGAAUUCCACGUGUAGCAGUGAAAUGCGUAGAGAUGUGGAGGAAUACCGAUGGCGAAGGCAGCCCCCUGGGCCAAUACUGACGCUCAUGCACGAAAGCGUGGGGAGCAAAACAGGAUUAGAUACCCCUGGUAGUCCACGCCCUAAAACGAUGUCAACUAGUUGUUGGGGAUUCAUUUCCUUAGUAACGUAGCUAACGCGUGAAGUUGACCGCCUGGGGAGUACGGUCGCAAGAUUAAAACUCAAAGGAAUUGACGGGGUCAUAGCUGUUUCCU
rnacentral:rRNA from 1 species